AGGACUAAUUGCACAAAUAGUCCAUUGAAAAUAAAAAGGCGGAUGGUAUAGGCAAAACGGCGCCGUUUUCGUUUCUUCUUUUAAGUUAGCCAAAACCUUAAAAAAGUUCUGCUUGUUUCUUUUGUGUUAAAGAACAGUGGUCUGCUAGGGGUUUUUUUAACCCCCUCCCUCCUUGCGCCGCCGUUCGAGCCUAGUGCCCCAUGCCCCGAUUUCGCCGGAGAAGACACCGGCUCGACAACUCCGGCGACCAGGUUUGGUGGCUUGUUGAGGUGUACGUACGUACGUGGAGGCGCAACUCGCGCGGAGAGGGACCUUAGCCCCGAGUCAUACGGUGAUUGGAAUGCUGGAAGCGGCAGCCAAGGGUUUUUCUAUUUAGGGUUUCAGUAGUUAGGGUAUUUGGAAUUUUGGGCUUAAGCUUUAAUUUUGUUGGGCCUAUAUUGGUUUGGGCCUGGGCAUAUGUGGGCUUGUACAGUUAUUAUUAUAAAAUAUAUAAUUAGGUGAUAGUAGAGGGGACGACGCAUCACAGCCGACCCUUUACUUUUCUUUAGGUUUUAUUUUAUGUUCUUUUAGGUUAAGAUUUUAUUUUUAUUAUUAUAGAUAUAGAUUAUGUAGCCUCAACCACCUUGUUUUAGUUAAUAGGUUUGUUUAUUAUUAUAGUAUAUACUUACGUGGGAAAGGGGAGAGGCGGACAGCCGCCUUAAAACGUUUAUUUUUAUUUUAUUUUCUUUCAAGAAAAUUUCUCCCUUUCAUUCUUUAAUUUUAUAAAUCAAUUUUUUAUUUGCUUUUCGAAA